GAGGUUGUGGCUCAGAGGUAGAGUGCUCGCCUAGCAUGUGUGAGGCACUGGGUUCGAUCCUCAGCACCACA
rnacentral:tRNA from 1 species